CUAAAGAGCAUGCUUCUGGAUCUGGAUCCUGGGAAACAAGGAUACAUGACACACAGAAAGAUUAAAGGAAAAAGAGAAGAGAAUGUAAAGACAAAAGAGGGAUACAAGAUGAAGAGUUUUCUCUCUACAGGAUCUGAAUAACUUUCUUCAGUAGGGUGUUUCUUUAUCUACUUAACCUUCAGAGAAAUCAAGUCCAAGAUCACACAAUAAGUGGCAAAAUCCAAAGUUGAACCCAGUGUUUUUCCCCCAACCCCAGCAGCUUCCAUUUGAAGAGGGAAAUCAUUUGAGAGACUAUGA
rnacentral:lncRNA from 1 species